CCCCAACAAUUUUGAAGAAAAUAAUUCAUGCUUUGGAGUUUAGUACCACAUCAGCUUUUACUAAAUCCCUCCUCCGGGCCAUGUUUACCUUAGCAUUUUGUGCUUUUUUACGAGUAGGAGAGCUUACCAAAACAAAUGCUCCAACCCAGCAUUUCCUUCUUUUUGGAUAUAUCACGUUAGGAUCCAAUAGUCCAUGCAAUAGGUAUAUACUAGUAGAUAUAAAUAUACCUCACUUUAAGCAUUCUAAAGCAAACACAACUACUCUACGCCUGCAGCAAAAUACGACGGAUCCUUUAGUUUGCCCAUGCCAAGCACUUCUACAUUACCUAAAUCUUAGGAAACAUUCCUCACCAUCAGAGCCGUUAUUUUCCUUUAUGGAUGGUUCGCCCAUUUCGCGUCAAUACUUCACACAGCAACUGCGUUCGGCUUAAGCUUUUUGUAAUUUGGACUUGCAUCUUUACAAAGCUCAUAGCUUCCGCAUUGAGGCUGCUACUACAGCUGCCUCUCAGGGGUUUUUGGAAUUACAAAUUCAGAGCAUGGGUAGAUUGAACUCUGGUGCUUAUGAAAAGUACAUUAGAAUCCCAACACUUAAGUUUUGAUUGACAUUCGUUUGAGUUUUGACAUUUUUUAAUGGACAGUGAAGACAGGGGCUUCACGAUCCUUUUUUUCUAGCAACCAUUAGACAGGGGCUACUGGUUGUGUUUUGAAUAUCUGUGCCAUUAUCUUACUUUGAGUCAGGGGCUCAAACAGUCAAUUUGCUUGUACAUGUUUUCUCUUUUGUAAUAAUAGUCUUUAUGUUGUAACCUUUUUUAGUUUAUAGUUAAUAUCAACCAUUAGACAGGAGCUACGGGUUGUCUUUUUGACUUAUCUUACUUUUAGUCCGGGAAAAAAACACUCAAAUUUGCUUGUACAUGUAUGCUUUUUCUAAAAAUAGUCGUUAUGUUGAAGGGUGUUCCAUUUUCCACAAAUUAGUUUUUUGUUAUAACUUGGUACAAUUUUUCUUAAUCAUGCACUGACAUUUCUGUUCAAUUUCAAUGUGGUUUUUGGAUAUGGGGCGUUAACAAGAUUGUCUAUAUUUAUAUAUAUACAGGUAUAUAAACCUAUCGAUGAGUGAUAUAACCUAUCUUGUUAAGGUGGCAGAUGAACACCCCAUAUAUUUACUUAUAUACCAGAUACUUUAUUAUCUAUUUCUGCCUAAGGUCGAAAACUUUUACUAGUCUCAAUCUCAGGAUACUUUGUGAUAUUUUCAAGGUUUUAUGUAUGAAUAUUGUUCUUCGAGUUUGAUGUCAUUUAUGUUCAGGAUACUUUGUGAUAUUUUCAAGGUUUUAUGUAUGAAUAUUGUUCUUCGAGUUUUAUGUCAUUUAUUUGAGGAAAUGCCUAUUUUCUACUUGUCACAUCACAUCACUUAUUCUUCAUUUCGUAUUAUAUUAUAUUGUGACUUUGACUAUGGCAUUAUGUUUCAUGCAAUUUUUAUGCUAUGUAUUCUUCAAUAAAUGACAUGUUUUAUUCUUU
rnacentral:sRNA from 1 species